UACGUAGGGUGCAAGCGUUGUCCGGAAUUAUUGGGCGUAAAGAGCUCGUAGGCGGUUCGUCGCGUCGGCUGUGAAAAACCUGAGGCUCAACCUCAGGCCUGCAGUCGAUACGGGCGGACUUGAGUACUGCAGGGGAGACUGGAAUUCCUGGUGUAGCGGUGAAAUGCGCAGAUAUCAGGAGGAACACCGGUGGCGAAGGCGGGUCUCUGGGCAGUAACUGACGCUGAGGAGCGAAAGCGUGGGGAGCGAACAGG
rnacentral:rRNA from 1 species